GCAAGUCGAACGGAACGAUGACUUCGGUUGUUGUUUAGUGGCGGAAGGGUUAGUAAUACAUAGAUAAUCUGCCUUCAACUUGGGAAUAACGGUUGGAAACGAUCGCUAAUACCGAAUGUGGCGGCUCCAGGCAUCUGGAGUUCGUUAAAGCGGGGGACCUUUGGGCCUCGUGGUUGAUGAAGAGUCUAUGGGAUAUCAGCUAGUUGGUGAGAGAAAAGCUCACCAAGGCUAAGACGUCUAGGCGGAUUGAGAGAUUGGCC
rnacentral:rRNA from 1 species